UCCGUAGGGGGCAAGCGUUGUCCGGAAUCAUUGGGCGUAAAGAGCGUGUAGGCGGCUCGGUAAGUCCGCUGUAAAAGUCAAAGGCUCAACCUUUGAAUGUCAGUGGAUACUGCCGGGCUAGAGUCCGGAAGAGGCGAGUGGAACUCCUGGUGUAGCGGUGGAAUGCGCAGAUAUCCGGAGGAAGACCGGUGGCGAAGGCGGCCUGCUGGGCAGUUACUGACACUGAUGCGCGACAGCGUGGUGAGCAAACAGG
rnacentral:rRNA from 1 species